rnacentral:rRNA from 1 species
UUCUUUGGGGAACCAGCGGAGGGAUCAUUACCGAGUUUACAACUCCCCAAACCCAAUGUGAACGUUACCAAACUGUUGCCUCGGCGGGGUCACGCCCCGGGUGCGUCGCAGCCCCGGAACCAGGCGCCCGCCGGAGGAACCAACCAAACUCUUUCUGUAGUCCCCUCGCGGACGUUAUUUCUUACAGCUCUGAGCAAAAAUUCAAAAUGAAUCAAAACUUUCAACAACGGAUCUCUUGGUUCUGGCAUCGAUGAAGAACGCAGCGAAAUGCGAUAAGUAAUGUGAAUUGCAGAAUUCAGUGAAUCAUCGAAUCUUUGAACGCACAUUGCGCCCGCCAGUAUUCUGGCGGGCAUGCCUGUCCGAGCGUCAUUUCAACCCUCGAACCCCUCCGGGGGAUCGGCGUUGGGGAUCGGGACCCCUCACACGGGUGCCGGCCCCUAAAUACAGUGGCGGUCUCGCCGCAGCCUCUCCUGCGCAGUAGUUUGCACAACUCGCACCGGGAGCGCGGCGCGUCCACGUCCGUAAAACACCCAACUUUCUGAAAUGUUGACCUCGGAUCAGGUAGGAAUACCCGCUGAACUU